UGAGGAAUAUUGGUCAAUGGACGCAAGUCUGAACCAGCCAAGUAGCGUGUAGGAUGACGGCCCUAUGGGUUGUAAACUGCUUUUAUAUGGGGAUAAAGUGGGGAACGUGUUCCCUUUUGCAGGUACCAUAUGAAUAAGGACCGGCUAAUUCCGUGCCAGCAGCCGCGGUAAUACGGAAGGUUCGGGCGUUAUCCGGAUUUAUUGGGUUUAAAGGGAGCGUAGGCCGUUUGGUAAGCGUGUUGUGAAAUGUAGGAGCUCAACUUCUAGAUUGCAGCGCGAACUGUCAGACUUGAGUGCGCACAACGUAGGCGGAAUUCAUGGUGUAGCGGUGAAAUGCUUAGAUAUCAUGAAGAACUCCGAUUGCGAAGGCAGCUUACGGGAGCGCAACUGACGCUGAAGCUCGAAGGUGCGGGUAUCGAACAGG
rnacentral:rRNA from 1 species